CAUGCUUCAAGGCAGCAAAUCACAUAACAAUCAACCCUAAGUUUUGCAAACAGAUUUGUUUAUUCAUUUAUUAAUUCUUCAUUUUGCAUUCCAUAAUUUUUCAGCCCUUGGCAGGUCCCCAGUAAAAGUACACAGUGUUUGUUGUCCAGAAUGCUGUUCUGUGAUUGCCCAUCUGAAUGAUAUGGCAAGAGUUUUAAUCUGCCUGGUGCAAUUACCAAAAGAGAAAGAUAGAAGUAUAAUCAAUUGGGAUAUGGGGAUAUGUUCCUUUUUUUAUUAUUUUUUUUUCUUUUUUUUCUUCUUCAAACAAUGAACUUCCUACAACUUUUCAAGCUGAUGCAGACAUCUAGAUAAAUUUUAUUUACAUAGAUAUCUUUAUGGCAAAAGACCAAACUUGACCUUUCUCAGCAGCCUUUCCUGGAACUUUCACAAUUAGGCUGUGCACCGUAUUCUAGGUCUGUCCUGGUAAAUUAGGUGUUUCUAGUGCUGUUCUUUAACACUGAGCACAACUCAGUUCACACAAAUAACAUUUCUCUCUGUCUAGAGCUCAGUGGCUGUAUGUAAAGUGAUGGCUGAGACUGGCUUCCUGCCCAUGAAAACUUCCAGUCUAUUCUGGGACCUGUUUGUAAGACUAAGAGUCAGCCCAGAUGUAAGCAGAAGUGACCUUCAAGAUGGGGAGCCUCAUUGGAUUUACCACCUGGUCCACCAAUGGCCUACAGACCAAUAUUUAAAGUGUCCAGAACACAGUUUGGUAGCCAAGAAGUAAUAAAGCAAAGAAGAUUAAAAUCCACCAUCAGGAAAUGCUUUCAUCACUCAAGAUUUUUAAGAAAAAUUGAACUAGCAUUUGUCACAAGUGACAUAACUGACCCUGUCUUUAUGAAAGGAGAUGGACUGAACGACCUCUUAGCGUCCCUUCUUGUCCCAUUUAAUUGAUUUUUCCAAGAAAAAGAAAUAAAUUUCUUUCUCUGAAAGAUACA
rnacentral:lncRNA from 1 species